GACGAAAGCUAGGGGAGCGAAUGGGAUUAGAUACCCCAGUAGUCUUAGCUGUAAACGAUGGAUACUAGGCGUAGCUCGUAUCGACCCGAGCUGUGCCGAAGCUAACGCGUUAAGUAUCCCGCCUGGGGAGUACGCACGCAAGUGUGAAACUCAAAGGACAUGACGGGGACCCGCACAAGCGGCGGAGUAUGUGGUUUAAUUCGAUGCAACGCGAAGAACCUUACCAGGGCUUGACAUGUCCGGAAUCCCGGUGAAAGCUGGGAGUGCUUUCGGGAGCCGGUACACAGCUGGUGCAUGGCAGUCGUCAGCUCGUGUCGUGAGAUGUUGGGUUAAGUCCCGCAACGAGCGCAACCCUCGUCGGUAGUUGCCAGCAGUAAGUUGCGCACUCUAGAGAGACUGCCGGUGACCAACCGGAGGAAGGUGGGGAUGACGUCAAGUCAGCAUGCCCCUUACGAUCUGGGCGACACACGUACUACAAUGGUCGGGACAGAGGGCAGCGAGCCUGCGAAGGCAAGCUAAUCCCA
rnacentral:rRNA from 1 species